GCUGCAACUCGCCUGCAUGAAGUCGGAAUUGCUAGUAAUCGCAGAUCAGCAUGCUGUGGUGAAUACGUUCCCGGGCCUUGUACACACCGCCCGUCACACCAUGGGAGUCGGUAACACCCAAAGUUGGUAGUCUAACCGCAAGGAGGACGCCGCCUAAGGUGGGAUUGAUGACUGGGGUGAAGUCGUAACAAGGUAUC
rnacentral:rRNA from 1 species